rfam:Streptomyces sp. WMMB 714 genome assembly, contig: H181DRAFT_scaffold00009.9
UUCACGGAGAGUUUGAUCCUGGCUCAGGACGAACGCUGGCGGCGUGCUUAACACAUGCAAGUCGAACGAUGAAGCCCUUUCGGGGGUGGAUUAGUGGCGAACGGGUGAGUAACACGUGGGCAAUCUGCCCU